CCUACGGGAGGCAGCAGUGGGGAAUAUUGGACAAUGGGCGAAAGCCUGAUCCAGCCAUGCCGCGUGUGUGAAGAAGGCCUUCGGGUUGUAAAGCACUUUCAGUGGGGAAGAAAGCCUUGGGGCUAAUACCCUCGAGGAAGGACAUCACCCACAGAAGAAGCACCGGCUAACUCCGUGCCAGCAGCCGCGGUAAUACGGAGGGUGCGAGCGUUAAUCGGAAUUACUGGGCGUAAAGCGCGCGUAGGCGGUCUGAUAAGCCGGUUGUGAAAGCCCCGGGCUCAACCUGGGAACGGCAUCCGAAACUGUCAGGCUAGAGUGCAGGAGAGGAAGGUAGAAUUCCCGGUGUAGCGGUGAAAUGCGUAGAGAUCGGGAGGAAUACCAGUGGCGAAGGCGGCCUUCUGGACUGACACUGACGCUGAGGUGCGAAAGCGUGGGUAGCAAACAGGAUUAGAUACCCCAGUAGUC
rnacentral:rRNA from 1 species